AAGCCAUUGAGUCUCCGCUGCCAAGAAAAGCUCCUAAGUUUAGCCGUGAGGAUCCGUACCGCAAACCAACACAGGUGGGUGGGAUGAAUAAUCCGAGGCGCUCGAGAGAACUCUGGCCAAGGAACUCGGCAAAAUGACCCCGUAACUUCGGAAGAAGGGGUGCUCCUCCGUGUGAACGGUUUUACAUUGUGAGCAUGAGGGAGCCGCAGUGAAUUGGUGGUGGCGACUGUUUACUAAAAACAUAGGUCUGUGCGAAGUCGCAAGACGACGUAUACGGACUGACGCCUGCCCGGUGCCGGAAGGUUAAGAGGAGAGGUCAGCGCAAGCGAAGCCUUGAAUCGAAGCCCCGGUAAACGGCGGCCGUAACUAUAACGGUCCUAAGGUAGCGAAAUUCCUUGUCGGGUAAGUUCCGACCUGCACGAAUGGCGUAACGAUCUCCACACUGUCUCGGCCAGAGACUCGGUGAAAUUGAAGUCGCGGUGAAAAUGCCGUGUACCCGCAGAAAGACGGAAAGACCCUGUGCACCUUUACUAUAGCUUGACAUUGGAUUUUGGGCCUAUAUGUGUAGGAUAGGUGGGAGGCUGUGAACCCUGUACGCCAGUAUGGGGGGAGCCACUGUUGAAAUACCACCCUUGUAUGUCUAAGGUCCUAACUCCACGCAGUGACCCUGCUGGAAGACAUUGUCUGGUGGGUAGUUUGACUGGGGCGGUCGCCUCCUAAAGAGUAACGGAGGCAUGCAAAGGUUCCCUCAGGCUGUUCGGAAACCAGCCGCUGAGUGCAAACGCAUAAGGGAGCUUGACUGCAAGAGAGACAUCUCGAACAGGUACGAAAGUAGGCGUUAGUGAUCCGGUGGUCCCGCAUGGAAGGGCCAUCGCUCAUUGGAUAAAAGGUACGCCGGGGAUAACAGGCUGAUCGCAUCCAAGAGUUCAUAUCGACGAUGCGGUUUGGCACCUCGAUGUCGGCUCAUCACAUCCUGGGGCUGAAGCAGGUCCCAAGGGUACGGCUGUUCGCCGUUUAAAGUGGUACGCGAGCUGGGUUUAAAACGUCGUGAGACAGUUUGGUCCCUAUCUUCUGUGGGCGUAGGAAUAUUGAGAGGGCCUGUCCCUAGUACGAGAGGACCGGGAUGGACACACCCCUG
rnacentral:rRNA from 1 species